CGGUUCCACCGUUCUACACACUUUCGUGUUUCAUAUUGCGUUCGUUAGAACGGACUACGGAACUUCAAUCUGCCAUUAACGGGAAAGCUCCAGGUUUAUUCCACUCUGCCAUCUCAGUAUUGUUUCUUUAACUGAAUGUAAGCGAAUUUCUUGUAAUUAAUCGCAAAAUGGCACUGCCUUCUGUCCGUAUUACUAAUGUUCUUGUGAAACAACUAUCCAGCCGUGCCUCGAAGAUCGCACAUGAUAUUUAUGAAGUUCUCCCUCGGGACGUGGGAGCAUAUCGAGGAUGGACGGCAGAGCGUUGGAGCCCGGCACGUUUCUUCCAUACAACUUUUGUCUCCGCAGUUCGUCCAAAAAUGUAUUCCAGUAAUUUGGAGAAAGAGCUGGUGGAUUUGAGAAGAGAAACUCGUGCAAAGGAUACUGACAACGACAGGCUGAUUAGUGCACUGGACAAGGAGAUCAAGGCGAUGACUAGAAUCCAUCGGUUUCAGUUAGGAGAGAAGAACACUCAGAUUCUUUUUUUGUCGCGCGCUCUUCAUAUUCGAGGUGUUAUCGAUCACUUGGAAGACGACUGGGUUCAGGAGUAUGAAAUGACAAAGAAAUUACCCAAAGGCCUGCACCCCAAACUGAUGUGGAGAAAACAUCUUGAGCGGGAAAACGCUUACAGGAAACCUUCCCCCUUCGAUAAACACGCUGAACUGUGGAAACUCUUGAAAGAACACGAUUAUUUCAAAGAACAGUUGUUAGAAGUUGCUAAUGACGAGGGGAAGAAACUGAUUUCUGUGGACAUAUUUAACCGUCUGGAAAAUUUAGUGGAGAAUAUCUAUCGGAAAGCUGCCGACCAGGCUCAUAAUGUAUGUUCGACUGGAGAUAGAGUAUGUAUCGAUUCCGACUUGUUGUCUCCGGAUGAAAUUGUUGUGGUGCAAGCCCUUUGUCGGCUCUUUGAAGUCGAGUUCGAGAUCUAUAAAGGAUCGCUGAGACCAGUAUAUUCGCAUGAAAUCAAUUUCAGCAUAUGAACAAAAACAGCGACGAGAAUGAUGCUGACGAUUUAAGCACCGCUUCUCUUUCGACGUCAGCGCUUAAAGAUAUAUCGAAGACAAACACGGGCAAAGAAGAAACGCAAGAUUUGGGCAUGUUCUAAUUGGAAACCGGAUGUACUAUCAUAAUCGUCCUCAAAUGCGGAUAAUGGCCGUAAUGGUUCGCUUGUACAAUGUACAGUACUCGUCGCACAAUGUCCACGACGCGAAGGCGCUGAUCAAAGAGAGUUAAGACACUGCCGAACCACAGCACAUUAUACACUACGUGUAGUGUAAUGUAAUGCCUUGGCCGGACACUGAAAGGGAGUAUGAUUACUGGGAGACCUUCAGUGCUGUGGACAUUGCAACGGCUGACAGAAGGAAGUUUGAAUCGGUACAAGGGAUCGCUUCGCCACAAAACCGCGGUCGGAAUCUUAUCGGCGCGAACAGUUUAAGUCUCGUUCCGGUCUGCCAAUGCUCGCCAACGUGCACGCCGAAGAUAUGGUUCGACCAGACUUCCAGUUGAUCUGAACGAGAAGAUGUGUUUAUUGUUUAACGGAAGAGCAUAUGGCCACUUUCUACAAGCUUGCAGGUCAGUUGUAAGCCGCUUUAUCAUUUUGCAUUUUGCAACUACUAGAAGAAUGCACGUUGGCGAGCAUUGGCAGACCGGAGCGAUGCUUAAACUAUUUUACGCUGCGGCUGGCCUAUGCAAGUCCCAACAAGAUGUACCACAUAAUGAAGGUACAGUAAAAGAACAUCUUGUAAAUAACUGCUCCAAAGUUAUUGUGCUACAGGGUUACUCAAUUUAUACGUAACAUACCGUAACUCAACAUACAGCCUGGCCACGCCAAGUUCGGACAGUUAUGCCAAAUAAAUUAGGAAGUAUUUCCGUGAGUCGUUUUGCUUUUAGUUUUGCAGUUUUCUAGUGUAACUUUUUCUUGCGGAUCUGGUACCCUUAAAAAAUUUAAAUUUUAAUUGGUCGGUAGCGAGCUGAGCUACGAUUUAAGGGAUAGGGUAGUGGUCAUUUCUGGAAGGCUUAUACCUAGCUCCUUGAGAAAUCUACCAUCUGAUAUUUUUUUGUGAACUUUUAUGAAAAGUAUUGCGGGACCUGAAGGAAUCCCUUUCGGGGUGGCAUUGAGGUCUUUGGCGAUUGGGGCUCGCGGUGACCUCGAAAGAUAACUUUUCACCCGUAGACUUGUAUGCUAAACGACACCUGCCGAAUAUUACGGUUGCUUAGCUGCCCAGACCUACCAACAUUGAAAUGAUAAUUUCUAUGAGUGGCACACGGACCACACCAAACGAUUUUAAUGUUACGACAGAUGUCCACUGCAAAGUCGGGAAGAUAUUAGUGCCAAACAAAUGGCAGAAAAACCCGACAAAGCUGGAACAAAAAAAAGUUAUGGCUGUAGUUUGAAUUUCUCGUGACAGAACGUAGCGAGCUUUUUCUGAGAACGAAGAUGCUUAAACUGACGCACAGUGCCUCUUGUCCGAGAUCCAACUAAAAAUAACUACUUCUGACACCUGGUGGCUGUGCGGCGAGUCGGCAAAGGAAGCAAUCCUAUGAUUCAUUAGCGCUCGCAGUCGCACUACAAAGGUCACGUAGGCUUGCUCAAAUCGGUAAGUUUCUUAGAUAAUCCUAAAGGGCAUUGAAUGGUCAACAUCAUGAAACAAUCGUUUUUCGAUUACAUCAUCAACAGCAAUUUUAAUAAAAUUUUAAAUGAGCCAAAGGAUAUCGCGGUAGAUGGGUCCAUCCGCUUUUUUAGACCGGCUUGGUUCGGAUUUAAUCUCACCGUAAAUCAGAACAAGCUCUUAUUCUGAAAAGUUCAACUGCAAAAGAUGUGUGACACAUGAGGGAAUCAGGAAAAAAAAUUAAAUAAGUUCAUAUUGUUUGGCGGAUGACUUGUAACAAUUUUUUUAAAAA